UGAUGAUUCUCUAUCAUGUUCCUCGUACACUGCACCAGCACCACUGCUUCCCUUCCCAGUGAGAACCCGAUCAAGCUUUAUCAUGCAGCCCAGAAGGGUGGGGGAAAGAAAAAGAAUUAGGAGAAAAUGUUGUAAAAGUAAUGAGAUAAUAUGAGAAUGUGCUUUGGGAACUGCGAAUCUGGAGUCACUGGUCCAUGAGGAAUCUAGGAUAAGAAGAAGGAAGCUGUGAAGAAUGGUUGGCUAACAGUGCUGGCAAGGAAUUCAGAUCAACAUACCUCUCAAAAGAAUGGAAGUCUCUUAAACUCAGGAGGUUGAUCAUGUGCAAAAGAAACAAUGACAAGAUA
rnacentral:lncRNA from 1 species